GAUUUGCACCGAGACACACCAUUGGUUUUUCUUAUUCUCCAGACUGCAGAUCACCUAGCAUGGGACUUUUCAGUCUCCUCAACCAUGUGAGCCAAUCCUAUAACACAUUCCUUGUCAUCUAUUUAUCAUGUAUCUCUAUCAGUUUGAUCCUCUAUUCCUCUCUCUCUGAAGACCCCUGACUAUUAUAGAAAAUCAAUUUCCUGAUAUUUCCUUAUCAAUUAGUUAAAAGUUGUCUGAGCUUAGGUUUCUAGAUUUUAAAUAGUUUCUCUUAGAAUCCUCAAGGUAGC
rnacentral:lncRNA from 1 species